CCCAAACCCACUCACUCACACUAUAUCACGUUGAUAUCAGCCACAACACACACACUAACACCUAAAACACACACACACUUCACGCAUAACACCAUUUUCUUUGGUGUUGGAGCUUUUGACCUCCGAUUUGAGCACCGAGACGAGCGUCGAUCAUCUUUUCGAUCACGUAUCUAAGUAGGUCCUUUUGGGAAGUAACGACUUGAGGGAGAGAGUGACGUUACUCAUUGAUACAGAGACACAACGAGGUUGAGCUGAUGUGAUGAUGGUGCUGCAAUGAGCGGAGUCUCCAGGGUUGUUAAUAAAUAGUUAACAUGUCUAGAAUAUGUCUUCAUACAUAUGUCUAGCUACUUUCCGCUGCAAGAUGUUGUUGAUGUUAUAGUAUGUUAUGUCAUACUUUGAGUCUUAAGAGAAUGGUUUCAUAUGAUGUAUAACUUGAUUAAUGAUAUUAAUUAAGUUUUAUGCUGUCUUUCAUAGACUGUUUUCAAUUGAGUAUUAAUGAAUAAAAAU